rnacentral:tRNA from 1 species
GGAGAGGUGGCUCAGCAGUUAAGAGCACUGGCUGUUCUUCCAGAGGACCUGGGUUCAAUUCUUAGCAUCCUCA